GUGGAGUGGGGGGGGAACCUGCCUUCGUGCCCCUUUUGGGGGGGAGAUUAGUCGACGGCGAUAGGCGGCCUCUCAUGUCGCAGUACCUCAUGGAUGCUGCUGGAAGCGUACACCAUCUUACUAACAAGAAAGUAAGAAAGGCAAACACUGCUCCUGCCAGCAAUUUUCCAUUGCCUAAAGACAAACAUAUGAAAACCUGCUGAUGUCAGCUCUGAUCGUCUUGCCACCAACCAAAUGAUCUUCCUGAAAGUCAUCAAUCUUUUUUCAAAAUAUCCAACUUAAAUAAAAGUAAUUUAUAGGAAAAAUUGUGCCUUAACAUUGUUUCAGAGAAUUCUGACAGCAUUUUGGAAGAUCCCUCAAGAUGACUGACAAUUCUAUAUUCCAUACCAUAGCUCUAAAAGAUAUUGAAUAUUAGAAAAUAUUGUAGUAACAAUAUGAGAACAACUUUAUUCUGACAUUAUUAUACCAUUAUUUUUUCACUGUUUUCAUUUAAAAGAAAAAAAAUAUUACUUUUUGAUUUAUAUAUUUAUCUUAUUCUAUUUUUGCUAGAAAAGCACUCACAAUGUAAAGGCAGAUCAUAAUUAUAGCUGUGCUAACACAAAACUUUUAUUCAUGUCAUGUUAACCAAAGUUCACUCAACCCAAUUUUCUGGUUUGUAUGGUCCCCUAAAUCAUAGAGUUACCAUACAGGCUAUGUUUGAAGAAGACACAACACACUAAAAUGCAUCUUGCAGGUGUCAAAUUUUUGAGUGCAAUUAAAAGUGGUGUUGAAAGAAAAGUGCUCUAUGUUAAUUUGCCACAGAUAAGGAGAAGAAAUGAUUGCUUUUGAAUGAGAUAUGGAAUUUCAUAUUCCAGCUGAAUUUAAUAUAUCUACUGCAACAGUGGAGGUGAAAUAGUCUAGAAACGUCUGUUUAAGCCUUCACAUACUUCAGUUUUGCAUUUAUGAAGGGAAAUAGCACUUAUAAAUUUGGCAUUUAUAUAUAUCAAAUGUAUGUAGGUAAAGCUGUUGUACAGUCAGAUGAAAGGGGUUCUGAGCAACAUGCGUUCUGCACUUUUCAUUCCUUCCUUCCUUUCAGUCUCAGGCCAGCAGAGUACUAGUAUUAGUUUCACUGAGAAAGAUUAUAAUAAAGCUCAAAAACUGAUAACAUUUGCCAGUUCUAGGCAAAUGCUUUUCCAGAGGUUGGAUUUUUAACAGGAAGUGCCAACGAAGUUGAGUUCUCUUAUAGACAAAAUAUGGGGUUAACCAUGAGCUACAGGAACAGUGUGCAUCCUAAGCAAUGUUUGACAGUUUGCAAGAACCUCUGCUUCAGGAAAGCUUAGAAGAUGUGACAGAUCUUUUCACUGAACAAACAAUUCCCUAGAAAACAGAGAGCCAUUAAUUCAGUCAGAUACAUGACUUCCACCCUGAUGUCUUGAUCAUCUUUAAAAGAAAUUGGCUAUUCUUCCAGGUGUUGGAUAAAGUAGUGAUAGAGCCCAUUCGUUACAUUUUAUGAUACACAGAAUGUGGUUUUUCUGGUUGCAAAUUUUUCCUUUCUUAUUGUUUCCUAUCUUUUUAAUAUCCAGGUUUGUUCUGGAGUUGGUUGCCAUGUAAUUAAAUUGUAAUAAAAAUAAAAUCAAUAAGAAGAGUG